GAUGAACGCUGGCGGCGUGCUUAACACAUGCAAGUCGAGCGGAAGGACGUGCUUCUCCCUUUUGUGAUGUUGGCGGCGGGUGGGUAAGGAAUAAGUAGAUCACCAGUAUAUAGGACUGGGCUAACUUAGGGAAACUGGAGACAGUAUCGGAUAAUAGUUUGAACUGCAGGGUUCAAAAGUGCUUGACGGACUUGUUGUUACUUUUAGGUGGUUCCGCGUUGGAUUAGCUGGUUGGUAAGGUAACGGCUUACCAAGGCGACGAUGCGUAGCCGACCUGAGAGGGUGAUCGGCCACACUGGAACUGAGACACGGCCCAGACUCCUACGGGAGGCAGCAGUAGGGAAUCUUCGGCAAUGGGCGAAAGCCUGACGCAGCAACGCCGCGUGAGUGAUGAAGGUCUUCGGAUUGUAAAACUCUGUUGUUAGGGAAGAACAUGUGUGUACUUAACUGCCCGGGUGUUGACGGUACCGGAAGAAAAAGCCCCGGCUAACUACGUG
rnacentral:rRNA from 1 species